rnacentral:lncRNA from 1 species
UUGAUGGGAUCUCUUCUUUCUUCAAUAAUCUCUUCUCAAGAUCUCAACCCUUGACAUUGGCAGAAUUUCUGCAAAAGCUAGUCGAGACUGAUGUUGCAUAUACCCUCAUGAAGACCAAGCUAACAGAAGAUUUUUCACCUGAGAGUUCCUAUAACAUUGUAGUUUCAGCUGAAAGAAGUACUGGUGCGAACGACUACAAAGUAAUGUAAUGUAUGCAAUUUCAUUUUCAUUUUGGAAGUUUGAGUAUGUUACUGUUAUACUGGUUUUCAGUGAAAGCUGCAUAUCUUCAAGAUUUUCUAGUAGAUGCAAAGAAGACAUUUUAGACAAAUUGUUAUCUUCUUCAGUAUUUUCCUCGUUCCUUACAAAUCCCUACUUUUCUCGAUUAACAGGUUGCAAAGUCACGAAUAGCAGCACUAGUGGCAGAUGUCUUCUCCAAUACAGCAGUGACAGAAAAUAAGGUAUUGCUCUAUGGUAAUGAUAACUGAAUACAUAAUGCAUAAAAUUUGUUCAUGUGAUACUUUUCUACAUAUCACUAAAUAACAAGAUGCAGCAAAAUGAAAGUUAGCAGCUCCCAAGUAUGAAGACACUAAUUUACAUGAGUAGCAACUCUAAAAGCUCAAAAAUAUAUAUCAAGGCUAGGAUAAUCUUGCUUGUGUGUUACAAUGAUCAAAGGCAGGUGUAUUUUAGGGGAAAAAGGUAUUAGGAAAUGCCGGUUUCCACAUGAUCUUUCUUGUGCUUGGGGAGCUUCUUCUAUCAUCUGUAUUGCUUCAAUGCUUCAAUUAAUCUUGGAAACUAUUCUGGUCUGUAUAUAUGACAGACUUUUUACACAUUAAAGUAGGUGAAACUUUGCUUUCUUUGUUUAGCUUCUCUUAUAAGUGAAAAAAAACAAUUAGUUAAGAUCUACCACUUUUUAAUAUUCAGGUUGUAGAGGUUUCCACUGAUCCAUCAGCACCCUCAAAGACUAUUGAUGAACAUUUUGGGUAAUCACAUUCUUAAUUCACAUAAAUAUGGUCUAUUCAGACUUUCGGAUGGGAAUGAUGUCUCAAUGUGUAAUUUGAUCUUGAUUUACAGUGCCAUUCCAGAGGACGGAAGACGAAAGGCUUAUGCAGAAGCCCUUGCAAAAGCUCAAGCUGAGGAGGAAGCUCUUAAAGCAUCCGAGCGUGCUCGCGCAGCAGCAGAAGCAGCAAAGAAGCUUGGGGAAGAGGUGAAAAAGCUGGAAAAACAAGAAGCUACGGCUGCCAAUCUAGCUGAAGACGCUCAAAAGAAGGCAGAAGCUGCAGGAGCAUCAGUUGAAAGCCUCUUGGACAAAGCAAAAGGCAUUAGUUCUGGCAUCUCUUGGGAGAAGUUGAGCUCACAGCUUAAAUCAGCUGUUGAAAAGUCAUCCGAGGAAUCAAAAGUGCAGAUUGCCACAAUCAGGGGACAGACCAAGGCUCGGUCUCUGCCUUCCCAGAAGGCGGUAGUAAAAAACCCAGCACCAAAGCCAAAACCUUCUUUCUUAAAAGAAAAGGAAGUUCCAAAGCCAAAAGCAAAAGAACCAGAGUCUAAGACAGAAGUGAGGAAGGUGUUUGGCGGUUUAUUCAAGCAAGAGACAAUCUAUGUUGACGAUGACUGAGAAGAUAAGCUACAAUCUACAUUAAAAUUUUGAGGGAAACUGCUAAAGAGAGAUCAGGUAAAACUAUGUAUAUUUCUGCAACCUGUUAAUACUUUCAAACGUUUGCUUUCAAUUGGAAAGGAAUCUCAGCCCAUCUUAUAAGAUCUUAGUAUCUGUAAAAUUCAAUUUUAAUAAUGGCACUGACCCAUUCACAGAGCAAAUUAACAACAAUUAAGAAACUUUUAGUCCUAAAGAAUGUACAGUUUGAAAUUUGUAGUCUUUAUAGGCACUCUACUUCUAUCGUCUCCUUACAAAUUUUGAUAUAAUAAAGGUACCUCGGAUAGGGAGCAAGAGCAUGAAAGCAAAGAAAACUCCUAACAACUACCACAUGUUAAGUACAUAGUUAUACAAUCAUCCAGACCAUUAUCACCCGUCUUUUUAAAAUUAAGAACGCAAUGUUUGUCCCUACUGGAAAUCAAACAGAGAUAGGAUAUAUAACUCUGGCAGAGAAACCCGUGAAACUUCCCAAGGUAUUCACUCUAUUGAAAUUUCUCGGACAAUAUAGCCAAAUGCGAAUUAUUUUAGUAUAAGACUACAUAUUGGUUCUAAAGUAAUCUGCAUAUUUCAAGCUAGAAAAAUGAUAAUAGAAGUUUAGAAAUACCUCUUUCUUGUACCAGACAUUUCAUCAAGCAACUCAAUUGCAUUGUUCCGUGUCUUCCUGAUACUCAUUUGUCAUGAGGAUGUAG